rnacentral:rRNA from 1 species
UACGAAGGGGGCUAGCGUUGCUCGGAAUUAUCGUGGGCGUAAAGGGCGCGUAGGCGGCCAACUAAGUCAGACGUGAAAUCCCUCGGCUCAACCGGGGAACUGCGUCUGAUACUGGAUGGCUUGAAUUCGGGAGAGGGAUGCGGAAUUCCAAGGUGUAGCGGUGAAAUGCGUAGAUAUCUGGAGGAACACCGGUGGCGAAGGCGGCAUCCAUGG